rnacentral:lncRNA from 1 species
GUGUAACUCCUAGUUGAGUGUGAAGACCUGAGGUAUCAGGGGUAGGGGUUGCUCUGCUUGUGUAAGUCCCAUAGUGUGAAGGCCAGAGAACCAAGAGAUGGUCAAGAAGAGAGAGUAAGUGUCCAAUGUCCCAGCUCAAGAAGAGAGACAAGACCAACCCCGCCUCUUCCUUCUCCUUCUCGACCUACUCAAAGUAAAGAUGAGGAUGAAGACCCUUAAGAUGAUCCACUCCCACUUAAUGAAUAAAACUUUUGUGGAUAGCUAAGUUACUGCUAGCCAUCUGAUUAUAGCAAUGGCUUCCAGGAGCAUCACGACCUGUGCAGACUCCCCAGCAUCAUAACAGGAAGGUCCCACGAUCACGAGCACAUUGCCUUCAGCAUCCAGCACUGAAUAUGGUGAAUUGCACUCUGAAGAGCUUCCUAAGCUUGUAAGAAAGUGAUUCUGAAAAGCUCAACAUUUUGGUAGAAUGGAGAGAUUUGACAUUGCUUCUGCUCCAAAAGCAAAAGACUUGGGCCUGGCGUAAAGGAGAUGGGACUCACACCCAAGAGGAUGCAUUUCCAUACACCCAUUUCUGAAAUAUGAAGAGGUGUCCAGUCUGUUUGAUUCAUAGCUGCCUGUUCCACAACUGCAGAUACAGUAAUUGAUAACCGAGACCAAGUUCUCAUCCCCAUCUCCCAGGGCUGGAACUGGGGCUGUGUUUGGUUCUCAUAAGAUCAGUUCCAGUUUUAGAAACUGAGUAAAUUGUGGAGUAAAUAUUGCCAAGUGAUGGCUUUCUGCUGUAGGCGUGGGUCGCUGUUGGCCAUUUGCCUCAGCAUAUCACCAGCAAUGCACCUCAUUGCAUCACUGCAUUUCCAAUUACACCUCAAAGCACCACUGGUCCCCUGUCCACCCUCUGCCCUGCAGAGGUGGGUGUUCAGGGAGACAGAUCCAAAAUCUGGGCUCAGAAGAUGGAAAUGCCAACUGCUCUCAAUUUGAGAGUGGGGAUGAGACUUUUUGACUCAACUCUGGUUAAUUCAGCCAUGCUGUCAGAGCUGCUUUGAUGCAAGGACAUCUGAAUGCUAUCUGAAUGCUGCCCCUAAAAUAACAAAUUAAAAACAACAACAACAACAAAAA